UACGAAGGGGGCUAGCGUUGCUCGGAAUUACUGGGCGUAAAGCGUGCGCAGGCGGUUUUGUAAGUCUGAUGUGAAAUCCCCGGGCUCAACCUGGGAAUUGCAUUGGAGACUGCAAGGCUAGAAUCUGGCAGAGGGGGGUAGAAUUCCACGUGUAGCAGUGAAAUGCGUAGAGAUGUGGAGGAACACCGAUGGCGAAGGCAGCCCCCUGGGUCAAGAUUGACGCUCAUGCACGAAAGCGUGGGGAGCAAACAGG
rnacentral:rRNA from 1 species